GGCUCAGGAUGGACGCUAGCGGCAGGCUUAAUACAUGCAAGUCGUGGGGCAGCGUGAGUAGCAAUACUUGAUGGCGACCGGCAAACGGGUGAGGAACACGUACACAACCUUCCUUCAAGCGGGGAAUAGCCCAGAGAAAUUUGGAUUAAUACCCCAUAAUAUAUUUGAUAAGGCAUCUUAUUAAUAUUAAAGCUUCGGCACUUGAUGAUGGGUGUGCGGCUGAUUAGAUAGUUGGCGGGGUAACGGCCCACCAAGUCUACGAUCAGUAGCUGAUGUGAGGGCAUGAUCAGCCACACGGGCACUGAGACACGGGCCCGACUCCUACGGGAGGCAGCAGUAAGGAAUAUUGGACAAUGGACGAAAGUCUGAUCCAGCCAUGCCGCGUGAAGGAUUAAGGUCCUCUGGAUUGUAAACUUCUUUUAUAUGGGACGAAAAAAGGGCAUUCUUGUUCACUUGACGGUACCAUAUGAAUAAGCACCGGCUAACUCCGUG
rnacentral:rRNA from 1 species